UACGUAGGGUGCGAGCGUUAAUCGGAUUUACUGGGCGUAAAGCGUGCGCAGGCGGCCCGUUAAGACAGGUGUGAAAUCCCUGGGCUCAACCUAGGAAUUGCGCUUGUGACUGGCGGGCUCGAGUACGGUAGAGGGGGGUGGAAUUCCUGGUGUAGCAGUGAAAUGCGUAGAGAUCAGGAGGAACACUGAUGGCGAAGGCAGCCCCCUGGGCCUGUACUGACGCUCAUGCACGAAAGCGUGGGGAGCAAACAGG
rnacentral:rRNA from 1 species